rnacentral:rRNA from 1 species
GUAGGGGGGGCAAGCGUUGUCCGGAAUUAUUGGGCGUAAAGAGCUCGUAGGCGGGUUCGGUAAGUCGGGGUGUGGGAAAUCCAGGGGCUCAACCCUGGGACGUCUCUCGAUACUGCUGUGACUAGAGUCCGGUAGAGGAGCGUGGAAUUUCUGGUGUAGCGGUGAAACGCGCAGAUAUCAGAAGGAACGCCAGCGGCGAAGGCGGCGCUCUGGGCCGGUACUGACGCUGAGGAGCGAAAGCGUGGGGAGCAAACAGGAUUAGAUACCCUGGUAGUCCACGCCGUAAACGUUGGGCACUAGGUAUGGGGUCUUAUCAACGGAUUCCGUGCCGUAGCUAACGCAUUAAGUGCCCCGCCUGGGGAGUACGGCCGCAAGGCUA